rnacentral:tRNA from 2 species
GUCAGGCUGGCGAAAUUGGUAGACGCGCGUGCUUCAAACGUAGAUCCAUUCCCGGUUCAAGUCCGGUGCCGGGCACCA